rnacentral:rRNA from 1 species
UUAGUCGGUCUCGGAGCAAACGAAGUGAAGCAUGUUAUUUAAUACGAAAAUACGCGUAUAACCUUACCAGACCUUGCAUAUCUAGCUCUCUGUUUAAUUUUUUUAAAUUAGAGUGAGUAUAUUUUUAUUGAAAAUAAUACGCAGAUACAGGUGUUGCAUGGCUGUCGUCA